UACGUAGGGGGCAAGCGUUGUCCGGAAUCAUUGGGCGUAAAGAGCGUGUAGGCGGCCCGGUAAGUCCGCUGUGAAAGUCCAGGGCUCAACCCUGGGAUGCCGGUGGAUACUGUCGGGCUCGAGUCCGGAAGAGGCGAGUGGAAUUCCUGGUGUAGCGGUGAAAUGCGCAGAUAUCAGGAGGAACACCGGUGGCGAAGGCGGUUCUCUGGGCCUGUACUGACGCUGAGGAGCGAAAGCGUGGGGAGCGAACAGG
rnacentral:rRNA from 1 species